UACGUAGGGUGCAAGCGUUGUCCGGAAUUAUUGGGCGUAAAGAGCUCGUAGGCGGUCUGUCGCGUCGGCUGUGAAAACCCGCGGCUCAACCUCGGGCCUGCAGUCGAUACGGGCAGACUAGAGUGCGGUAGGGGAGACUGGAAUUCCUGGUGUAGCGGUGAAAUGCGCAGAUAUCAGGAGGAACACCGGUGGCGAAGGCGG
rnacentral:rRNA from 1 species